CACAGGUAUACAGACCUAUAGCUGACAUCAACCAUAAUGUGUACGAUAUUAAUAAGUCUGCUUGUAAUUUCUUCAAUAUUUUCGACCUGCGUUUAUACUAGUCCAAUACAAGCCACUUUAACGACGGAAGUGACGUGUCCGCAUCUGCCUUGUCCAUGGCCCGGUACAUGUGAGAACCCACGUCAGACAUGGUUUGAGUAUAAAGGUAAAAAAUGUCCCGGAUGUACAUACUGUGAUAAACAGGUUGGUCGUGACUUGAAACGUGAAGAAUAUGUUCGACCUGCUGAAUGUCCUUUAUUCAAGUGUCGCGAUCCUGGUUGUUCGAGUGAAAACUACGUAUGGCGCAUGAUCAACUUUAAAGGUGUGACAUGUCGUGGUUGUCCAUACUGUAAACCUAUGUAGAUUUGGACAUUUUUAAAUGUACACUGAUCAUUAAAAGAUGCUUUUAAGAUAA